UCUUAUUUUAUUAACUCUCGUUAAUAAGCAAUUUAUAACUAAUUUUUAUAAAUUGCUCUGUCUGACGGGGACAUAGUGAAUACAGAAGCUGUGGGAAAUAUAGGUUCCCUAAAAGCUAACGCGAUCCAAAGAGGCGUAUUGUUCAUUUGUCUCAUUCUGUGUUUUGUUAAAGUGUGGCUUGUUGCUUUUGUACUUGACACAAAUACACUACCAUGAACCUCUCACCUCUGUAUAACAUCAUCUCACCCUCCCUCCCUAAACGUUGUCGUUGUUUCCACCACCACCGUCACUACGUCAUUUCUGGACGAGUGUCCCCCUCUUCCCCUCCCCGUCGCCGCCAUCUGCGCCGCCGCCUCCUUAAAAAGUUCUCCCGGGAAGACACUUGUCCGCCCUCCGAUGAAAACCUCCACUUCAUCCUUACCGUCGAUAGUUUGCCUACCAAAUCGUUACACGACCUUCUCCACUCCAAGCUUGGCGAAUUCGUACACUCAAGCCGAGCCGCCAUUGAAGACUUGCAAACUCUAAUCCGCAUAGAUAGCAAUAACGGCAGAGUUCUCUUCUCCUGCACAAGGUCCACCGUUAAAUUCCUAGCAACUCUACUACUUACCACUUCCAUACUUAUUUUCACUCUUAGGGCUAUUUUUAAGCUACUGCUGGGGUUACGACUUAACAACCGAAACAACAACGUUGAGUUAGUGUAUAAAAGAGACCGUAGUUUGGGUGGAAGACAAGUACUCGUUGCAAGAAAUGAGACUGUUGUUGAUAGGAACAAACCAAAUGUGUUGGAUAAUAAUUCGGAUUGGGGGAGUCGAAUUAGGUUUUCCAGGAGACGAAAGAAGAAGAGCUCCAUGGAGCAGUUGCCCAAAUGGUGGCCUCUUUCGACUGCUGGUUCGGAGCAAGUUGGAGCAGAGAAUCAACAAGAGUAUCAGAGAAUGGCCAAUAGAUUGAUUCGAGCCAUCUUGGACAAUAGAAUGACGGGGAAGGACAUUUUGGCGGAUGAUAUUAUUCAAUUACGGCGCAUAGGGAGGAUAUCAGACGUGAAAGUUUCAUUUGAUACUGAGAAUGCACGUGAUACCCUUUAUCGCGUGGCAAUCGACUUUGUUCUUAAUUAUUGUGAAAGCAUUGCAAGCCAGUCAGCAUUUGUUCUAAUUGAUGGUGAGGAAGCGCAAAACUUCGUUGCUGGUCUUGCUGUUAAUGUUGGACUUGAGAGUACUCAAGCUGCAAGAAUGGUGUCUGCAGCUGUUGCUGCACGCACUAGGUCAAGGCUCUUGCAAGCUUGGGCCUUGGAGAUACAAGGAAAGCAUUCUGAAGCUGUGGUGGAACUGUCAAAAGUAUGUGCCAUUCACCAGAUAUUUCCUCCUGAAGAGUUCUCGCCUGAGAUGGAGAUGGUGGCUCGUGGACUUGAGAAACACUUAAAAGUAGACCAAAGGGAGUUCCUAAUGAACAGUCUUCUACGUGUGUGUGGUGAUGGGACCAGGAGAAGUGUGGCUGAAGCUUUGGGUCUGGAGUACGAAAGAGUUCAAUUCUGGAGGCAGUAGCAUCUUGUGGCGUGGCUGGUGGGUUUUAACUCUGGUCUCUCUUUCAAUCAUCUACCCAGAUGUACUUGAAGGAUAACAUCGUUCAUCAAGAGGAAAACAAGUAUACAUAAAUCACUAAUUUAAUCUUGUACUAUUGGUGUGUACAGGAAUUGAUUUUUAAAGAUUAAUAAUGUUUAUACUAAAAAAGAAAUUGGUCUACAACUAAUACUACCUGUAUGCAACAACCUUCCAGAAUGCUUCGAGUAGAUUAUCGAAUGCAUCAAUGUAAAAGGUAAAAAGUGUUAAAUGCAUAUAUUACAUUCUACUUGUGCUGAAAA